rnacentral:rRNA from 1 species
AUUGAACGCUGGCGGCAGGCCUAACACAUGCAAGUCGAGCGGGGUUUUCGGACCUAGCGGCGGACGGGUGAGUAAUGCGUAGGAAGCUACCCGAUAGAGGGGGAUACCAGUUGGAAACGACUGUUAAUACCGCAUAAUGUCUACGGACCAAAGUGUGGGACCUUCGGGCCACAUGCUAUCGGAUGCGCCUACGUGGGAUUAGCUAGUUGGUGAGGUAAUGGCUCACCAAGGCGACGAUCUCUAGCUGGUUUGAGAGGAUGAUCAGCCACACUGGAACUGAGACACGGUCCAGACUCCUACGGGAGGCAGCAGUGGGGAAUAUUGGACAAUGGGCGCAAGCCUGAUCCAGCCAUGCCGCGUGUGUGAUGAAGGCCUUCGGGUUGGUUAAAG